GGGAUGGAAUGGCAGACAACUAAAAUGUGAGAUACUGAAAAGGGUAACAUGAAACGAUGGCUUUCCAGCUUGGACACAAUAAUUGUGGAAGAAAAGGAAAAACAUAUUCACCCAGAGAAGUGAACCAACUAACAUUCAAAAUGCAAUUACAGAAGGUUUUGAAACUUCAGUGCCCAGCACUUGGAUGGGCUGUCUCCGUAGAGGUCUUGCUUCCUUCAGGGAUGGCACCACGUCUGAUGUAACAGUGGACAGUGUCACUAAUGCUCACCUUUUCCAUGGCUGACUCAUGACUACUGCAUCAGCUGACAAGGGCCCACAAAGUAGGUGUUUAUACUACUGAGAAACAGUUUUGUCUUCUAAAAGCUGGAGCAUGGUCAUGAUGCCUGCGAUACCAAUACCGUACAUGGAAAAUCAAGGGCAAGAACAGGGUGACAACUGUGAUUUUAAAUAAAGUAAAAAAUGGAACAGAAACAGUCCUGAAGUCCUACAUCGGCAUGAGACCUCUGAGGAAAGGAUACUGAGCAGAAGAGGAGGACUGCAAAUGAGUCUGGCUGCAAGUGUGUGCCAGAGAAAUGGAAGAGGCAGAGAGCUGGAGCCAACAGGUAUUCAGGAACGUGAAAGCACAAGAGCCUACCAUGGUGGAGCACAGACAUAGCAUCCUGGUUUGUGACAUUUGGUUCCAGUUAUAAUGUGACCUCCUGUUUUUCCUGGUAUCACUGUCUACCAAGUGAAUAAGGUUGAUCAGCUUUUUAAGGUGUGUAACAGCAUGGUAGUGUCAGACACAAGUGAAACCAGUCUCAGCUCACCGUCUGAUAUAGGUUGAUGAACAGACACUCAGUUUCUGUGUACUCACGGGGCUGUGAACAGCUUUAAAUGCACUCAUCUAACUUUGAAUUUGUCAAGCAGAAUCCUCCAGAUUAACAGAUGUGUUCAUUACAAACAUCCUAUUUAACUGAACUGUUAGCAAUUCAGUAUUUAUAUGGCACCAUUCAGGAAUUCCAAUACGUUCUAUUCUACUGAAUUUUUCCUUGUGUUAGAAACAGGACCAGCUUACCCCAGCAGUGCACUAGAUAAUCCUGACAGGUUCAGAAAGUGACCUUCCAGAGGGCCUAGCCAUGACUCAGUUUGGCUGCUGAGGCACCACCACAAAAUCCCUUGCCAUUUCCCACCUGCUGUAUAUGACACUAAAGAUAGAGCUGAGACAACAUUUUACUAGAACACAUAAUUACAGGUCCAUUUUUCUUCACUAAAUUAAUGUUAAACAUAAUCUAUUACAGAAGUUCCAUUCAAGGAACAGAUGGUAAAUACAAGGUAAUACACAUACAGAUUAAACAAUAUUGGCAGCAGCUGAUAUACUUACACAAAGCACAAAGCUAGGAGGUGCUAACUGUUCUGUGCUUGAAUUAUGGAAAACAGACUCCAUUCAUAGAUUUGUUUUUAAAUUUGUUCAGAUGCAAAAUACUUCCAUGAAGGUAAAGGUCUCCCAAGAGCUCCGUCUAUGUAACUCCAAAAUCCACUGUAUUAAAUGUUUUGAAGAUUUUAUUGUAAUUUCUGUUUUUACUGAGUUACAAUAGCAAAUAAAUAAAUUGCUUGAGCAGGGAAGCCAAGUGGUUAGAUCACAAGAAUUAAAGCUCUGUGCUUUUCCGGUGGGAGGAACUGCUGUCUUAAGAAUAAUACAGCAAGAUUUUGCUUGCCUAAGAAAAGAAACCCAAAAGGAUUCAGCUUCCCCAUGAUAAAGUGCAAACUGCUGUGUGAAGCAAUGUAUACCUCACGCCGCAGCUAAAUGUCUGAACACAGCCUGCAUAAAAAUCCUUUCUUCUUCACAUUGCUGGUAUUUGCUGAAUAGCUAUUUAAUUUCUUACAGUCUCCAUCACCCCCAUCAAUGUAAGAUCAACCAAAACUCUUUUGCCAGCAUGACUGUUAGUCUCCAUGGGGCUGGUAAGGAUCCAGUCCCUGGAAUUUGGGCAAACAGUUUAGGACCAGAGUGUAAAAUAAUUUAUAGAAAAGGGGCAAGGAAAAAGUAUCCCCCCUUCCUUGUUCGUCAUGAUGAUGAAGUGACAGGAAUACUUUUGUUAAAAACUUGAUUUUUUCCUUUAUGUUGAAACUAUUUCCAAGGGAAUUUCCACACUUACUGUAAAAAAGACCCAGACUCAAUGGACUGACACGCUGCAAGACCCUCCUCUAUGAUUGCCACUGGCUGUGGCCAGGUGAGGGAGACAGUGGGACAGGCUGUGUGGGACUGGACCACCAUGUCCACAAAAUCAUCUGCCAGAUAGUUGGAUGUUUUUAUAUACAUCCAAUAUAUUAUUUAUAUAUAUUUAUGCAUAUAUACUAUAUCUCCAAGUAUUAGUUGAGAACCGUGUUCUCAAGCUCCCUUGAAAUCAUCACAAAUGCAAGUUAAAGAGCAGCAUUGACUCAAACAGGUAAAGCUUGUCUUUAGUCUGCUCCCCUCAUUUUCUCUUUGCUCUCUCUCAUUUCCCUGUCUUUCUCUCUGUGUUUUGAGGUGUGAAAAUUUAUAUGUUUAUACUUAAGCAAACAAAACCUCUUGCUUUGAAAAUAUUAAGUAUUCAAAUAUCUGGGGAAAAAAGCCAAUGAGUAGAUGUUACGCAUGGAAACAAAACAAAACAAGACAAAGAAACUCUAGAUUUAUUACAAAACUAAAAACAUGAUGCCUACAAAACAAUUUGCUUUAAGUAUGGUAAUAAUUCCUUGAAGCAGAUUAUAUGAGCCCCUUAUACAUGUUAUACUUCAAUAGUGAAAAGUAACUCAGACUAGCAAGGAGAUAAAACUCCAAGGUUUAGAGCGAGUAGGCUCUGGAUUAAAAUGUGCCUUUCUGAGUCACUGCAGAAUCUAGCAGUAUUACUCUGCAAUUUCUCAAACACACAACAUCAUGGAGUUUUCAGUUAUGUAUGUUUUGGAGUUAACAAUGAGAUGUCACAUUCUUAGAGGAAUAUAUAGAUAUUAUUUUCAAAAAUACCUACAGACUUGCUGUUCAUUGAUUCAGGGAAUUCGCCUGGGUGAAAUCUAAUCCAUAAGAAUAAAUAUUUGGAGGUUAGCUAGGUUGGCUCUCUGAGCCCCGUUGCACAGCAUAACCAUGGGCGUGCAAGGACAGAGGCACCCCUAGUGCUGGAAAGAGCGGGAAGGUGAGACUGCGGUGUAACCGCCAUGGGAACGCACCUCGCCGUAGGGCCUGAUUGCUGCGUCCCACUGAAUCCAUUAUGAGUUUCUGUGAAGUAUGAGUCCAAUGUUAAGGACUUUCCUCCCUCCGUCCCCACCAUUUCUCUUCUCCCCUAUUGCUUCUCCAGUUUGUGAAAGCCUGGCUUGAAAUUUCUUAUAAUCCAUUUUUCUUAGGUGGUUUUUUUUAAUAUAUAUAACAUUGUACUGUAACAAAUAAUAAAUUCUUUCCCUUCCUUAACAGCCUCUAGCACAUAUAAUAUUGGCUAGCAGCUUGAAUAAACACGUCCCUUCCCAUCAAGGCUGCAUAAAUAUAUUGGGUGCUGCCUGAUCCAAGACACCUUUACUCUUUCUUAGGCAUUUGUACAGUCUACCACAAGAUGCCUUGGAAACUUCGGAGUUUCCAGUAUAACUGAAAGUGCUAACUCCAGAUAUUUAAUGUAUAAAUGUUCUUUCUUUUGCAGUGUCUCUCUCUCUCAUGGAAAGCAAUAUCAUCACUAUUUAUUUUAUAUAAGCUCCACUUCAGAAUAAACCAGGACUAUCAUUCUUCUAAUUUACUUUUUGCCAUCUCAUCUAUGUUUUCUGUGCUCUCAGAAGGCUGUUUGUCCUGUUUUCUACUUGGCAUGGAUUCAGUAUGUGGUUUUUUAGUUGGCUCCAAAGCUACAAUGCUAAAAGGCCCCAGAGGAGUUGGGUGCUUGACUGGAAAGACACCAGCAAUGUCGAGGCCCUACUCCUCUUUCUUAGAGAAUUAACAGAAAUAUGUUUUGCUGGGAUUUUUAAGGGGAACUACAGGGCCGUAGGCACCAGCUUCCUAUGAGCUGUCUCUAAUCCCUUCACCUCCUUUGAAAAGCCUAGCAUAUGCAUUUGUCUCAUGUACAUUUUGCUGUAAGUACUUCAUGACUAAUUGUAAAGGUCUAAAAACAGCUUGUGCUAGAGCUUUGCUGAUAAGACAUGACACCGCUCAUUAGUCCUGCUGAGCUCCUGAGCUGUGGGAAUAGGGGCACUUUGCAUUGCCAAUCUCUUCUGACAACCAUCAGCAGGAAUGUGAAGUGUUGCUCAGGGAAAUAAGGUCUCAAAUGGAAGAACUGUUAUUGUUUAAAUUAUACUAGAAUUAACCAAAUAAAUGGGCCAGAUGUUUUAUCCAGUCUCGACUCUUUGUGCCAUAGGUGCUGUUUACAAAUGUUAUAGUAAUUUAGCUGAUGAUUAUUUCUGGAUUUCAAAGCUGGUUUGAAAUUGUCUUAUUGCUAGGUUUAAAUCAAAAUUUUGGGAAUGAAAAAUAAGUUUUUGAAAACCUUUGCUGGGGUAAAAGUGUUCAGUUUGGGGUGGAGAAUUCACUAGUACUAAAAGAGGCCAGACUAACCAAUACCACUCCUGGAUGGGCCAUGAGGGUGAGGUAUAAUUCCACAUUCUCGGAACACAAUGAACCAUUUUAGAUUUAUAGUCACCUGAAAAACUGCUGAUGGCACAGUGACACAAAAAUAAUUAAUUAUCUGUCCUAAUAACUUUUCUCAAUUUCUUUCUGUCAAUACUUUUCUUUCUGGUUGCAACAUUAUUUGAACUUAUAUGUUUCAGUAAUUAAUAUGUAUUUAAUUCCGUUUGAGCCAUGAACAUUUCUGGCUAAAUGGAAACUCUUCCCAUUGUCCUGAUUUUAACUA